UCCUACGGGGGGCUGCAGUGGGGAAUAUUGCACAAUGGGCGCAAGCCUGAUGCAGCGACGCCGCGUGAGGGAUGACGGCCUUCGGGUUGUAAACCUCUUUCAGUAGGGAAGAAGCGAAAGUGACGGUACCUGCAGAAGAAGCGCCGGCUAACUACGUGCCAGCAGCCGCGGUAAUACGUAGGGCGCGAGCGUUAUCCGGAAUUAUUGGGCGUAAAGAGCUCGUAGGCGGUUUGUCGCGUCUGCCGUGAAAGUCCGGGGCUUAACCCCGGAUCUGCGGUGGGUACGGGCAGACUAGAGUGCAGUAGGGGAGACUGGAAUUCCUGGUGUAGCGGUGAAAUGCGCAGAUAUCAGGAGGAACACCGAUGGCGAAGGCAGGUCUCUGGGCUGUAACUGACGCUG
rnacentral:rRNA from 1 species